rnacentral:rRNA from 2 species
AACAAGGAUUCCCUUAGUAAUGGCGAAUGAACAGGGAUAAGCUCAAAAUUAAAAUCUCAAUAUUUCAUAUUGCGAAUUGUAAUUUAUAGAAUUUGAAUCAGUAUUAAAUUUAACUUAAGUUGGCUGGAAAGCCACUACAUAGAAGGUGAUAUACCUGUAAAUAGUUAAAAGCUUAAUAUAUUAGUAUUCAUUUUCAAAGAGUCAGGUUGUUUGGGACUGCAGCCUAAAAUGGGAGGUAAAUUUCUUCUAAAGCUAAAUAUAGACAAGAGACCGAUAGCGAACAAGUACCGUGAGGGAAAGAUGAAAAGAACCUUGAAAAGGGGUUUAAAAGAAAGUGAAAUUGUUAAAAGGGAAACGUUUAAAAUGGGCAAAUGAUGUAAUAAAAAAUAUUUAUUUUUAAAUACUAAUUUAUUAUAUUUGUGGCCAAUGAGNAUUUUAAAUUAUAAAAAAUGAUAGGUUAGGAGGUAUAUUGAAUGAAAAUUUAAUAACUUAUAACUAAUCUGUUUUAAAUAUAUUUUAAGAUUUUUAAUUUUAUUAAAACUUUUGAUAUUUUAUUAUGUUUAAUGAUUUAGAAAAUAGUAAUAUAGUCUUUUUAUUAAAUAUAUUAAAAUGUUAAUAGGUUUNAUAUAAAUUGGUCAUUACUUUUUUAAACGACCCGUCUUGAAACACGGACCAAGGAGUCUAACAUUUCUGCGAGUAGCUAAGUUAUUUAAACUUAUAUGCGAAAUGAAAGUAAGUUCAAGGUAGGAUUAUUAAAAUAUAUUUUAAUAUGCACUAUCAACCAAUCUAUUAGGUUUUUAUCUAUAGAAUUGAGUUAGAGCAAAAAUGUUGGGACCCGAAAGAUGGUGAACUAUGCCUGAAUAGGGUGAAGCCAGAGGAAACUCUGGUGGAGGCUCGUAGCGAUUCUGACGUGCAAAUCGAUCGUCAAAUUUGGGUAUAGGGGCGAAAGACUAAU